GGCUUAGAGUUUGAUCAUGGCUCAGGAUGAACGCUGGCGGCGUGCUUAACACAUGCAAGUCGAGCGAAGCGCUUAAGCGGAUUUCUUCGGAUUGAAGCUUUUGUGACUGAGCGGCGGACGGGUGAGUAACGCGUGGGGAACCUGCCUCGUACAGGGGGAUAACAGUUAGAAAUGACUGCUAAUACCGCAUAAGCGCACGGAGGCGCAUGCUUCUGUGUGAAAAGCUCCGGCGGUAUGAGAUGGACCCGCGUUAGAUUAGCCAGUUGGCGGGGUAACGGCCCACCAAAGCGACGAUCUAUAGCCGGCCUGAGAGGGCGACCGGCCACAUUGGGACUGAGACACGGCCCAAACUCCUACGGGAGGCAGCAGUGGGGAAUAUUGCACAAUGGGGGAAACCCUGAUGCAGCGACGCCGCGUGAGCGAAGAAGUAUUUCGGUAUGUAAAGCUCUAUCAGCAGGGAAGAAAGUGACGGUACCUGACUAAGAAGCCCCGGCUAACUACGUGCCAGCAGCCGCGGUAAUACGUAGGGGGCAAGCGUUAUCCGGAUUUACUGGGUGUAAAGGGAGCGUAGACGGCAAUGCAAGUCUGGAGUGAAAACCCGGGGCUUAACCCCGGGACUGCUUUGGAAACUGUGUAGCUUGAGUACCGGAGGGGUAAGCG
rnacentral:rRNA from 1 species